CUGAGAGAGCACAAUAUGACGUUGGAGCAUAAGCUGAAGGUCCAGGAAGCUCUGCUUAAAGAAGGAUUUAGAAAGAAAUCUGAGGAGAUGAAUGCAGAGAUAAAUCGUUUGAAAAAUAUGAUUGAUAAUACUAAAGAUGAUGAUACUCCCUGGCUGGCAGUAGCCUUGGACAAAUUUGGCAAAAAGAUCUCUUCACUAUUGUGCGCUCCAGUCAAACUUCUUGGUCAUAUUGUGAGUGGUGUGAGCUCCCUAUUUAAAAUGAAGUAGCUCUUCUUUUAAAGAAAUUAUAGAUACACAAUAUAUGUACAUGCUCUGGCCUAUGUUUGGUGUGAAUGCUUUUCACUUGCAUUCAGCAAAUCUUUAAAUAUAAAAAGUGGUUACUAGAAAAUAUCAAUGCCUGGCCCACAUUAGAUAGAAUAAAUGCACUUUGAUAUAGCAUGUUCACUUUUAGGAAAUAUAUGUGUGCAAAAUCAUAUAUAUGUAUAUAUACAUACAUACAUACAAGAGGCCCGUUGAGGCAUCCCUUUUAAUGGCAAAAGAUUGGAAACUACUUAAAUGUCCAUCUAUAUAAACUGGUAAUAUACAUUUUCCAUGUACAUAUACUGGAAUACUAUGUAGCCAGUAAAAAAAUUGAUAGUGGAGGUUUAUAUGUAUAAAUAUAGAACAACCUUGAAGAUAUAUAGUAGAGUGAAAAAAAUGAGGUACAAAACAGUUUGUAUAAUCUGUUCACCAUAAAAAAUGCAAUUAUUAUGUGCACUCAUAUAUAUGUACACAUAGAACGCCUCUGGAAGAUUCAUUAGAAAGUGGUAUCAUUGGUUCCUUCUGGGGAGAACAGCUUGGCAUUCGUGAUGGAAGGGACACACACUUUUCAUUAUAUCCUCUAUCUUCUCAAUUCUGUAAAGAAAGCUUGUAUUAUCAUUUCUCAAAUGACAAAGAAAACAUAAAGUAUAAUACUAAAAAUGAUAAUAAAUGGAAUGUGAAAUUGACUAUUAGAUGAUGAAAUUGCUCAUUGCUUCUAGAAAUGACAUCAGUCUGUUCAAUGAGUUGGAUCAGAAUACUAGAAAGCAUAAAAUUUGCAUCCUAAUCUUGUUUUCACUUUGGCUGUGUUUUUAAUCCCUUAUAUUUCUUCAAAAAGAAGGUAUAAACUUUCCUGUUACCCCUUGAAAUCUCAGCUAGAGGAGAAUGCAGCUGACAUAUUUUGAACUGUUAUUGCCUAUAGCCAUAAUGCUAAGCUCUUUCGCUAGACUCUUUAAUCCUUCAAAUAACAUUAAGAAGCAUCUACGCUUAUUGUCAACAUUUUAAAGAUCUGAACGGAGAGGCUUAGCAAGUUAAACGAACUUGCCUAAAGUUACAGACAGCAAGUAGCAGAGGAAAACAGCAGCACAUUUUAGAGGCAGUAUUUCACAUUGGGAAGAGCAAUAUAGGAAAGCACCAGACAUCCUGGGUUUGUAGAACUGAACAUAGUUCUGACUGGCUGGAAUCUGGAGUGGGUAGAAGGAAGUAGCACGGGGCUAGAUACUGGAGGAAGACAGGUCGCUGUAAGGAGCUUAGGCUUGUUGUAGUGAACCACUGUAGAAUUUUAAACAUGAAGCAAAAAUUACAUGGACAUACUUGUUUUUGCAGCACUAAUCUCCUCAAUGGAAUUUUAAGUUCUGUGCUCCUUCUUGGUUCCUCAGGCAAACGAAGUCCUCCAGAACUUUCUGCUGUCACAGGUGGCAAUAGAGAAAUCCAUCCUGCAGGCAGAUAAAGCCCUCAGUGAUGGGGAGAAGGCUGUAGCAGAGGAGCAGGCCAGGAGGGAGACAGCUGAGAGGGAACAGGAGCUGCUGAAACACAAACUGCAGGAGCUGGAGCAGCAGACGGAAGCACGACAGAGGAGUCUCCAGGAAAACAUAGCCCAGCUGACAGAGAAGCUGGCGAGGAGAAGAGAAAAGCUACUGAGAGAGCACAAUAUGACGUUGGAGCAUAAGCUGAAGGUCCAGGAAGCUCUGCUUAAAGAAGGAUUUAGAAAGAAAUCUGAGGAGAUGAAUGCAGAGAUAAAUCGUUUGAAAAAUAUGAUUGAUAAUACUAAAGAUGAUGAUACUCCCUGGCUGGCAGUAGCCUUGGACAAAUUUGGCAAAAAGAUCUCUUCACUAUUGUGCGCUCCAGUCAAACUUCUUGGUCAUAUUGUGAGUGGUGUGAGCUCCCUAUUUAAAAUGAAGUAGCUCUUCUUUUAAAGAAAUUAUAGAUACACAAUAUAUGUACAUGCUCUGGCCUAUGUUUGGUGUGAAUGCUUUUCACUUGCAUUCAGCAAAUCUUUAAAUAUAAAAAGUGGUUACUAGAAAAUAUCAAUGCCUGGCCCACAUUAGAUAGAAUAAAUGCACUUUGAUAUAGCAUGUUCACUUUUAGGAAAUAUAUGUGUGCAAAAUCAUAUAUAUGUAUAUAUACAUACAUACAUACAAGAGGCCCGUUGAGGCAUCCCUUUUAAUGGCAAAAGAUUGGAAACUACUUAAAUGUCCAUCUAUAUAAACUGGUAAUAUACAUUUUCCAUGUACAUAUACUGGAAUACUAUGUAGCCAGUAAAAAAAUUGAUAGUGGAGGUUUAUAUGUAUAAAUAUAGAACAACCUUGAAGAUAUAUAGUAGAGUGAAAAAAAUGAGGUACAAAACAGUUUGUAUAAUCUGUUCACCAUAAAAAAUGCAAUUAUUAUGUGCACUCAUAUAUAUGUACACAUAGAACGCCUCUGGAAGAUUCAUUAGAAAGUGGUAUCAUUGGUUCCUUCUGGGGAGAACAGCUUGGCAUUCGUGAUGGAAGGGACACACACUUUUCAUUAUAUCCUCUAUCUUCUCAAUUCUGUAAAGAAAGCUUGUAUUAUCAUUUCUCAAAUGACAAAGAAAACAUAAAGUAUAAUACUAAAAAUGAUAAUAAAUGGAAUGUGAAAUUGACUAUUAGAUGAUGAAAUUGCUCAUUGCUUCUAGAAAUGACAUCAGUCUGUUCAAUGAGUUGGAUCAGAAUACUAGAAAGCAUAAAAUUUGCAUCCUAAUCUUGUUUUCACUUUGGCUGUGUUUUUAAUCCCUUAUAUUUCUUCAAAAAGAAGGUAUAAACUUUCCUGUUACCCCUUGAAAUCUCAGCUAGAGGAGAAUGCAGCUGACAUAUUUUGAACUGUUAUUGCCUAUAGCCAUAAUGCUAAGCUCUUUCGCUAGACUCUUUAAUCCUUCAAAUAACAUUAAGAAGCAUCUACGCUUAUUGUCAACAUUUUAAAGAUCUGAACGGAGAGGCUUAGCAAGUUAAACGAACUUGCCUAAAGUUACAGACAGCAAGUAGCAGAGGAAAACAGCAGCACAUUUUAGAGGCAGUAUUUCACAUUGGGAAGAGCAAUAUAGGAAAGCACCAGACAUCCUGGGUUUGUAGAACUGAACAUAGUUCUG